UCCUCCAUCCUCAGCCCUGAGCCCCUCCAGCUCCCCCCACUCCUCUCAGCGCCCCCAAAAGCAGCACCUCCGACCCCUCCUCUUUUCCCAGAGAUUCAGGCCACCUUUAGGGGCUCCACGAUCCCAAAUCUCUUUUCCAGCCCUGGGAACCCCGGGAUGGGGAGCAGCGGGAAUUCCUCAGCCUGGUUUGCAGCGCUGCUCCCCCCGGAGCACAGAACAAAAGAGGGCAGCGGCUCCUGCGGGGCCCCGCGGGCUCGGGGCAGGCGCUGCCCUGCCAUGAGGGGAUUGUUUUGCUCCAAAAAAAUGGGAUUUUGAAGGAAAAUGAGCGGCGGGAGUUUCCCCAGCACGGCCGGGACAGCAGGAGCGGCGCUGCCCCAGGGUGUUAAAGGUGGUCCCUGGGUGGUCAGAGCGCUUUUUGGAAGCUUUUUGGGAUUGCUGCCAUCCCACGUGCGGGCACAGAGCCCUGGUGCCAGCCGGGAAUGUUUGCAGGGGGAUAAAGCUGCAGUGAGCAGGAAGGUGGCUCUGGGGGUGACAGCAUCCCUGAGCCCCCAAACUCGCGGGAUCGGCUCUGAGGGACCCCCAGAAGUGAUGCCAGCAGCUGUGGCCACCCCAACAUCCCUGAAAGUUUGUUUGGGUUUGUUGUUUGUGGGUUGGGAUCCUGGAGCUGAGCACAGGGAGGGCUGGGACAGCAGCAGCUUCGAGAGAUCAGGGCAUCCCAGAAAUUCCCUGUACACAUCCCAGAAAUUCCCUGUAUAUAUCCCAGAGAUUCCCUGUACACAUCCCAGAGAUUCCCUCACACAUCCCAGAGAUUCCCUGUACACAUCCCAGAGAUUCCCUCACACAUCCCAGAGAUUCCCUCUACACAUCCCAGUGCAUCCCAGAGAUUCCCUUCACCUGAAUCCCAGAGAUUCCCUUUACUUUCAUCCCAAAGAUUCCCUCCACCUGUAUCCCAGAGAUUCCCUUCAUCUGAAUCCCAAAGAUUCCCAUCACCUCCAUCCCAGAGAUUCCCUUCCCCUGCACCCCAAAGAUUCCUGUCACCAUUACCCCAAAAAUUCCCUUCCCCUUCAUCCCAAAGAUUUCCUCCACCUGUAUCCCAGAGAUUCCCCUCAUCUGAAUCCCAAACAUUUCUGCCACUUGUACCCCAAAAAUUCCCAUCACCUGUAUCCCAAAGAUUCCCUUCCCCUGUACCCCAAAAAUUCCCAUCAUCUGCAUCCCAAAAAUUCCCUUCCCUUGCAUUCCAAAGAUUCCCUCCCCCUGUACCCCAAAGAUUCCCUCCACCUCCAUCCCACAGGGAUUCUCUCUCCCACCAGGAAAAUCCCAAUCCCUGGGUCCCAAAUCCCAGCAAUGCUCAGCACGGAUGGGCUCCCCACCCUUUUUUGGGGGUUUGGACCCCCCAAAAUCUCACCCCAGAGCCACCUUCACCCCAUGGCUACUCUGCCCUGGAGAGCCCCAAUUCCAGCUGAGCACAAGGGAUCCCAGAAAAUCCCAAAAUUAAAAAUAACUCCACUGAAAAAUUGCUUUUAACGUGCUCCCCUUCCCAGGAAUGCCAGCAAGACCCAAAAUUAAAAAUAAUCCCACUGACAAAGGAGUUUUAACUUGCUCCCCUUUUUCUGGACACCCCAGAAACCCCCAAAAUUAAAAAUAACCCCACUGAAAAAUUGGUUUUAAAAUGCUCCCCUUACCAGGGACGCCAGCAAACCCCAAAAUUAAAAAUAACCCCAAAGCCAGGGCAGCUUUACCGUGCUCCCUUCCCAGGGACACAAACCCUUCCCCUGCAGCCCAUAAAUGAAAUUUAAACCCCUGGAGCACAUAACAACUUUACGAGCUGCUCCACGUCCCCCACCCCAGCCUGGCAGGGCACAGAUCCCCCCCUGGCCUGGAGGAAUAAUAAUAAUAAUAAUGGACAUUUCGGCAGGGAGACAAAAAGUCCAGAAAUUCUCCCCUCAGGACAUCUCCAAGCCUGGGAUAAACUUCGCUGUGAGACAGAUUUAGGGAGAGGGGAGGGUGGAGGUAAAAAAAGCAACGGGGGAGCUGAGAUUUUCCAAGAGAGAAAAAAGAGAUUAAAAAAAAAUUGAGAUUUUGAAAAAAAAUGGGAUUUAAAAAAAUUUGGAUUAAAAAAAUUUGGAUUAAAAAAAAUGGAAUAAAAAAUGGAAUUUAAAAAAUGGAAUUUAAAAA
ensembl:lncRNA